rnacentral:rRNA from 1 species
ACGAACGCUGGCGGCGUGCCUAAUACAUGCAAGUCGAGCGGAAUGAUGAAGAAGCUUGCUUCUUCUGAUUUUAGCGGCGGACGGGUGAGUAACACGUGGGCAACCUACCUUGUAGAUUGGGAUAACUCCGGGAAACCGGGGCUAAUACCGAAUAAUCCAUUUUGCUUCAUGGCGAGAUGUUAAAAGGCGGCUUCGGCUGUCACUACGAGAUGGGCCCGCGGCGCAUUAGCUAGUUGGUAGGGUAAUGGCCUACCAAGGCGACGAUGCGUAGCCGACCUGAGAGGGUGAUCGGCCACACUGGGACUGAGACACGGCCCAGACUCCUACGGGAGGCAGCAGUAGGGAAUCUUCCACAAUGGACGAAAGUCUGAUGGAGCAACGCCGCGUGAGUGAAGAAGGUUUUCGGAUCGUAAAACUCUGUUGUAAGGGAAGAACACGUACGAGAGUAACUGCUCGUACCUUGACGGUACCUUAUUAGAAAGCCACGGCUAACCACGUG